UGGGGUGUAGCUCAGUGGUAAAGUGUUUGCCUGGCAUACAUGAGGCCAUGGAUUUGAACCCCAACACUUCAA
rnacentral:tRNA from 1 species